CUGGCUCAGGAUGAACGCUAGCUACAGGCUUAACACAUGCAAGUCGAGGGGCAGCAUGUGGUUGCUUGCAACCAAUGAUGGCGACCGGCGCACGGGUGAGUAACGCGUAUCCAACCUUCCCCUUAGUAGAGGAUAGCCCGGCGAAAGUCGGAUUAACACUCUAUGUUCUUCAAUGCGGGCAUCUAAGUUGAAAGCAAAGAUUUAUCGCUAAGGGAUGGGGAUGCGUCUGAUUAGGUUGCAGGCGGGGUAACGGCCCACCUGGCCUACGAUCAGUAGGGGUUCUGAGAGGAAGGUCCCCCACACUGGUACUGAGACACGGACCAGACUCCUACGGGAGGCAGCAGUGAGGAAUAUUGGUCAAUGGGCGCGAGCCUGAACCAGCCAAGUAGCGUGCCAGGACGACUGCCCUAUGGGUUGUAAACUGCUUUUAUCAGGGAAUAAAGUGAGGCACGCGUGCCUUUUUGUAUGUACCUGAUGAAUAAGGACCGGCUAAUUCCGUGCCAGCCGCCGC
rnacentral:rRNA from 1 species